ACGCUGGCGGCGCGCAUAACACAUGCAAGUCGAGCGAGGGCUUACUUCCCGCCCGGGAGGUGAGUUCCUACCGGCGAACGGGUGAGUAACACUUGUGCAACCUUUCCUAUCCCGGGGGAUAACAGCGGGAAACCGCUGCUAAUACCGCAUGUCGACCCCGGUCGCAUGGACGGUGAAGAAAGCACGCAAUGCACGAUGGGGUGGGCCCGCCUGCUAUCAGCUAGUCAGUGGGGUAACGGCCUACCUAGGCGAUGACGGAUAGCUGGUCUGACAGGACGACCAACCACACGGGGACUGACACACGGCCCCGACUCCUACCGGAGGCAGGAAUGAGGAAUCUUCCUCAAUGGGCGAAAGCCUGACUGAUCGACGCCGCGUGUGGGAUGAAUUCUUUCCGGAUGUUCACCACUGUCUGAGGGGAAGACAUCAACGGUACCCUCCAAUAACUCCCCGGGCUAACUACGUGUCACCAGCCGCGGUAAUACGUAUGGGGUAAGCGUUAUCCAGAUUUACUGGGCGUGCAGCGCGUGUACGCAGCUGGUUAAGUGUGAUGUGAAAUCUUCGGGCUCAACCCGAAAACUGCAUUGCCCACUGGCCUGGCUAGAGUGCGCGACAGGGACGCGGAAUCCCAAGUGUAUCGGAGAAUCGCGUAGAUCUCUGGAGGAACACCAGUGGCGAAGGCGGCUUCCUGGCCUGUAACUGACACUGCGACGCGAAAGCAUGGGGAGCAAACCGGAUUAGAUACCCGGGUAGUCCACGCCAUAAACGUUGUGAACUAGGUGCAGGCCGGAUUGACCCGAUCAGUGCCGCAGUUAACGCAUUAAGUUCACAGCCUGGGGACUACGGCCGCAAGGUUAAAACUCAAAGGAAUAGGCGGGGGCCCGCACAAGCAGCGGAGAGUGUGGUUUAAUUCGAGGCGACGCGAAGAACCUUACUUGGGCUUGACAUGCAGAGGAAAUUCUGGUGAAAGCCAGAACAUCUAGCAAGAGAGUUCUGCGCAGGUGGUGCAUGGCUGUCGUCAGCUACGUGCCGUGAGGUGUUGGGUUAAGUCCCGCAAUGAGCGCAACCCCUGUCCUUAGUAGAAUGUUAUAGGGAGACUGCCGGGCGAAACCCGUAGGAAGGUGGGGAUGACGUCAAGUCUGCAUGCCGUUCAUGUCCAGGGCUACACACACGCUACAAUGGCCGGUACAACGGGUUCAGACACGGCGACGUGAAGGCAAUACUUUAAAGCCGGUGUCAGUUGGGAUGGCAGGAUGCAACUAGCCUGCAUGAAGUAGGAGUUGUUAGUAACAGCAGGUCAGCACAAUGCGGUGAAUACGUUGCUGGGCGUUGCACUCACCGCCCGUCACAUCACCAGAGUAUGGUGCUCCUGAAGUCGCUGGCGGAACCAGUAAGGGACGGAGGCGCCGAAGGAGUGCCCGGUGAGGGGGGUGA
rnacentral:rRNA from 1 species